CUUGGAAACUCUGGCUUCUUGGCGCUGAGAAUUUUUUUGUCACUUAGAUGAUGUGUCAGAACUUCAGAAGAAAUGUAAGUUCAGAAACAUACAGUAAUUAUUAAUUUUUUCACAGGGGUGGGGCUUGCUAAAAAAUUGUGAUGACGAGUAGGAUACAUCCUCAUUAAGAAAGGAUAUUUGGAAAGCUGAGUAAGAAACUAACCCCUUAUUAGGCUUGCCAAUUUGUAUGGCGGUUUCUUGCCAGCUUAACAGCUGUGCCAAUCAGAGGUUCAGCAGCUAAAAAUUUCUAUCUUUGCAAGGGAAAGCUUCACCUGUUAAAUUUCCCGUGCGAAUUUUUAACAUUUGCGGGGGGUGAUACCCCCACCACUACCUUCAAAAAUUUCUGGGCAGAAAUACUUUGACCCAGCAUGAUUUUUUAAAAUUUCUAUGGCCAGAGUGUAACACACAAUGUGACCUUAAUUCAGACUCCUAAAUCCUUGUUGGAUUAAAUUGCUAAUGAGCUCUGUAGGAAGACCCUGUGAACAACUGAGUAAUGUUUUCCAUGCCCCAAAGACCAUGGCAAAGCAUCCCUGUAGCCUCACAUUUGCCCUCCAUUGUAUCAUAAAAUAAAUAGAUUUGCUGUCCUUGCAACUGAUAAAUGGGCCCGGGGGAGAAGGCUGUUAAAGAGGAGGACGUGUUGGUCCAUUCUUAAUGUGGAAUGGAGAAUAUUUGUUUAGGAAAGACCAAAUACUCCUGCUGUAAAUUUAACUUCUUGUUUUCCCUUUGAUUUCACAGUUAAGGCCAGCGCACACGGUCUUCUGAAAACGGCCCACAGAAAUCUGUGCAGAGGGAGGUCAGCAAAAAGGCAGUGGUUAAGUGUUUUCAUUAGAGGGGAUUCAAAACACACAGGGCAAGAUAAGGGAGAUUCAUAUGCUCAGUGGAUUUCAAACAAGCACAUGAGUCACCGGCCAGCCAUUUGGUAAGCAAGUAUCUUUCUCUUUCCCAGCAGUAUGAUAAAACGCCAAGGUGGGGGUGGGAAGGGAUGCCUUGAUGUUGGGAGGCCAAAAAAGAUGUGUGUGUGAACCUAGAAAGUUCCCACUGAGCGGAGGGGGAGAAAGCCAGACAGCCAUUUAUUUCAACACACUGCUGGAUUUACUUAAGUUUGUCAUGCAGAAUAUCUAAUAUAGCUACUACUUGGAUACUUAAAGAGAGAGGACACAUUUCAGGGAUGUUCACGAGGUGUGUUUUGACAGACAUGUCCCUAGUCAAUAACAUGGAAAUUGGAUCGGGGGGAUGAAAGGUUAGCUUGCUGUUUGGCUGCCCAGAUACUAAAUAUAGACUCUUGACCUGGAGUGACACACAUCGAGUUAUAUCAUAAAUGGGCAAGACAACAUGAGCGUGUGUUGCUCUGACACAGCUAAUUUUCAAGCUGCAGGUUAUUUGCAGGUUGGAGAAUUAAACUUCACUUUGGCGCUCAGAAUACUUACAAAGCAAAUAUAACCAAAAUCCCUAAUGUGAAAUAAGAGUACUAGAUUUGGCUCCAGUCUAGGGUAGAUUGCUGUUUCCAAGCUGCUACCCUAAAGAACAGGGAUUUUGAAUUUUGUGGGGAUGGGGUAAGGAAUAGCAUGUGAGUUGAUCUUUACUUGGACAAUGGCUGCCUUGCUUAAAAGAAAGACAGUAAAGAGUGGAGUGUAGACUGGAAAGAUAUAGUUUAAAAUUCCUACUCAAACAAGAAGCUCACAAAAUGACCUUGAACGUGCUACCUCUGGCUCUUGGACAAACCUACUGCACACGUGGUUGUGACGAUAGAGAGGGGAUGAUGACACAAAUGCUGGGUGGGUUCAGGAUUCUGUGAACACUUCAUUGCAGGAUGGGCUGGGUCCCCACCAGCUUGAAGAAGGUCAGUGGGGAGGCCAUCCUGGCGGGUGGGAAUGCCCUGGGACCAGAGGUUUAUGCCAAAUACCUCCAGAUCACCUAUAUACUUUUCUUGGGCAAGAUGACUGAGAGGAAGAUGGUUCAGCUGUAGACACUCUUUGAAUUUCAACCUGGGUUGUGGCCCAGUUUCGAGACAGAAUUUGCCUUGGUUGCCCACAUGGAUUACCUACUUUGGGAGAAUGACGAGGGGAUUGUGACCUCAUUAAUCCUCCUAGAUUCCUCUCUUUGAAAAAUGAAAUUGGGGAAAACCAAAUAAGUUGCUCUCUCAGCUUUAGCAAGUUAUACUGCAUAAAGGAGGGGAUAAAAAAGCAAACUACUGUGUGUUCAAAACCGCAGAGGAAUGGCAGGACAAGCAUUUUCAGAAGAUAUACAGAAGUACAUUUAGACAAAUAUGAACAAAUGUACAGCAUCAUUAACAUUAACACACCUCAUUAAAGUUAUGGGUGAAAUAGUAUUUUAACCCUUUUAAUGGUCUCUAUAAUGCACAAUUCUACUAAUGACAGUUGUUGGAAGUAUGGGAAAGGCCAAGUGGAUUUUAUCCUCUGUUGGUAGGCCAGCCCAGAGGAUAUUCAUGAUGAGAACUCCUAUUCAUGAAGCUGUGAUCUAACCACCUGCACUCAUCUGCAACGGUGGUCUCAAACACACACUGGUCUUAAAUAUGAAGUGAAUGAAGCUUAUGUUUUCUAGACAGAAUGAAGCUGGUUUGCCAAAAAAUGCAUCAAACACCAGCAGUGGCAUAGCAUGGGUUGCCAGUGCCAGGGAUGGGCAAGUGUGUGUCCCCUUGGUGGCCAGUGCAGCUGGGAUAAAUUCCAUGAGGCACAUGACUGCCCGUGCUGCUGUAGCUGGUGGCAAUGACUGCACACCUUCUUGGCUUGGCGGCUCUGCCACCUCCUGGCUUGACCAGCCCAGAGGUGGGGUGUUUGGACAUUCCUUCACCGGCCAUGAGGAGAAGGAGGCACUUCCUCAACCCCAAAGGCCUGGCCCAUGUGCAGCUUGCCUCCUUGAGGCUCCAGGAGGCAGCAGGAGCUCUGCCACGUGGCCUCGAUGAGGGAGCCUGGUUGGGGGCAUCUGGUUGUGUCCCUCUCAGAAUUUUAUGCUUAGGGUGACCACCCCUCUGAGCCCCCUGACACUACGCCACUGACCACCAGAAUUUCUUAAGAAACUACAGGAUUGAUAGGGAUCAGGGCUAACAUGUACACGGCUUCAAAAACUAGUAAGGGGAGUUUACUGCAUGUGGAGUAAGUUGUAAUGCAUGCACACCCUAAGUGGAUGGACAGCCGAAGUAGAAUGCCAUCAACUUCUUUAAAACUGUAGCUUACACACUUUUCAUUUUAUUUUUAAAGAGCCCCAAUCCUUCCUCUCCAUCUCUUUCCUUCCCGUCAUUGAAACCACCAGAGAUGCUUCUCUUUGAUUAUUCUUCAUGGAACACUUGUAACAUUUGCAAGUGUUUUGCUUGCAUGUUGUUCCCAUCAUGUAAACUGACUAUCUACAUCAGUGCAAGCUGUUUUCAUGAAUGACAGGACACAUGAUCUGGAAAUGUUCUGCUGGUAUGGAGAAGCUCUAUGUGGUUAGAACAAUGUAUAAGAGAAGCAAAAGACGAGGCAUGUUAGACAAUUACCAUAUGACUGGGGUAACAUUUUGGGUCAAAGGUCAGCAUAAACUGUUUUUCACAGAGGCUUAAAUCCUGUGGUGUGGAGCAUCUUCAUUGUACUUGGUGGUACUGGCUGGUGGACUGUUAGAGCUAUUCCCUUCAUGGGCUUGCAAGAAGCAUGUGGUUGGUCACAGGGGAAAACAGGACACUUGACAUACACUUCCCUGGGAGGAAGCCCAGUGGAACCAAGUAGAACUUACUCCCUAAUACAGUGGUACCUCGGGUCACAGACACUUCGGGUUACAGACUCUGCUAACCCAGAAGUAGUACCUCGGGUUAAGAACUUUACUUCAGGAUGAGAACAGAAAUCGUGCAGUGGCGGCACGGCCACAGCGGGAGGCCCUAUUAGCUAAAGUGAUACCUCAGGUUAAGAAUGUUUUCAGGUUAAGAAUGGACCUCCGGAAUAAAUUAAGUUCAUAACCAGAGGUACCACUGUACAGAUGUAAUUAAGCAGGUAUAUAUGCUGUCAGUGGACUCUGUGAGACUGAUUCAACAGAGCUCUUACAUUCUGUGCUCUUAGCACAGGCAGAACAGAGAAGUUCCUCUGGUCAAGUGGUUGGGCAAGGCUGGUCUGUCCACAAAAAGGAUUACCCAAGAUGGCACAGGAGACUUGAUGAGAAGGAGCUGUCAGGAAGAAAUGCUUUUUUCUCUUCUGCAGGGUUGAGCUGUAACUUGGAAAGGUUAUUUUUCUUCUGCAUCCCCCCCCCCCAUGAGGCCUUGCAAGAUUACAUCUCUCUCCCAGCGGUCAGAUGUACACGAUGUCUGUGUGACCCUCCAGCUUAUGAAUAAAACCCAUUUCCCCUCCUUAGUCUUCCCUGUCUUCUUCCUCUCACAAAACAAUGGCACAAUGUAAGGCUUAACCCAUAACAUCUGUAACUGGCUCAGCAAAGGCAUCAACAACACUGAAACUGCGAGAAGAGAGAAGAAUGCUUGGGCACCUUUUUUGUCCUUUUACUCUUUCAAGAGUCAUGCAAACGGCCUCUUGGCAAAACAACCUCUUGGCAAAAAGGUCUCUAGAAUUUAUAUAUCUAUUAUGAUAUCCAUAUUGAAAUGAAAAAAAACCCCUCUUUUGAUCACUGCUGGACUCUUAUUCCUGCUCCUGCAAAACCUAUUCAAUACUAAAUUUUAUUCAGGUUCCUUCAUAAAAUGUUGAAUUGUAUUGGGAAGCUAAUAAAGGCACACUGACGUCAAAAUGAAACAUAAAAGGCAGAUGUUUCUUGUUACAAUUAUUUACCCACAGCCACUUUUCCUUGUUUUUAGACAGUGCAGAAGAUUAUUAAAUGGGCCAUGCUAACUUGCUAAUUAUUGUUUCCACCAUCGUCCCUGCCAAAGGUUUUAUAAUAGACAAAGCUUUCUUCGACAAUGUAUGCAUUAUUAAAUUCAUUCCUUUUGUUUCUGUUAAUGAAAUUUAAUUUAUAUAGAUCCACAACACAGAUGGUAUCAUUAGAUGGCUAGCUGACUUAGAAAGAUCAGUCAGAUGUAUCUAAGAUUAGAUCAUUUCUUAGAUUAUAUUGUGAACUUGCCAAAGGACCUGCGUUACGCAAGUAUUGAUUAUCAAAUUUAUGUUUGUCCACAUCACCUUAUUGUUAAUGGGAUGCUAUGCAAUCACGUAUCCAAUUUGUCUAGAUUUCUUUGAUAUUUCUGUUGCAGAAAUGAGAUAGUUGCUUGAAGCAGUUCAGGAGAUCAGGAGAUUCAAUAGCUGGCUUUCUCAGAGGCUAGGAAAUACCUGGACAGGGGCAAAAGGACCUCCUCCUGCCCCACCAAGCUGAGGAUGUUGUAAAUCAGGCAUCUAUGUAAAGAAAACAAGAGAAAAAUUGCAGUUUGGGAUAGGCAGGGAAAGACACAGGAGCUGAGUUAGGGCUCCAUAAGUAUCUUACAGUGGUGCCCACUGGGAAGGGAAGGGAAGGGAGGCCAACAGUAGGUGGAAAGGCAGAGUCAAUGACAGGAUUGUAAGUAAAGUACUGACUGGUUGUAAGUAAAACUGCAGGCAGGUGAGGGCUGGCCCAGGACAGAUUGAGAUGGGUAAGAUAUUGGCCCACCUGCCCUAAAGGACCAGCCUUCACUGCUUGGGGUGCUUCUUGUCCAUUGUGGAAGCACUGGACUUCAGUCUGCUGGGGUAUUUAAACGGUGCCCCCACCCACAUUCACCCUGUAUAUGUGUAAAUACAGUGGUACCUCAGGUUACAUAUGCUUCAGGUUACAGACUCCGCUAACCCAGAAAUAGUGCUUCAGGUUAAGAACUUUGCUUCAGGAUGAGAACAGAAAUCGGGCUCUGGCAGCGCGGCAGCAGUAGGAGGCCCCAUUAGCUAAAGUGGUGCUUCAGGUUAAGAACAGUUUCAGGUUAAAUACGGACCUCCGGAACGAAUUAAGUACUUAACCUGAGGUACCACUGUAUCUGCAAACACUUCAAAAUGCCUAAAGGCUCCAGGGACCUCCUUCUAAAGGACACCAAAACCGGGGAAGCACUGCAUCCCUGGAACUUCUCGUGACUUGAAGAAGUGGGUGAACAAAAGAAUAGGAGGCAGCCCAGUGCAGGAUAGAUGAGGCUGAUCUCGCCAUCCAUCCUUCACCCUGAGUGGCCCAAGACAGGGUGGCCCAAGACAUUUGGCUGCCUGAGGGGGCAUCAGAAGCUGAUGGAGUUGGCAGUUGACUCUUAUACCAAUACUGUCAGUGGCAUAGUUUGGCCCUCUGGGAAGCUGGUAAGCAGUGAGGGUACAGAAUGGGCUGUGUGGCACUCGCAGGUCUGUCUUCCAACAGAAUGGUAUGGCUGGGGACACAGGAGAAAGGGCUGUCUCUGGUGCCGCCUCCUCCCAACUGCUGCCUGAGGUGCUUACCUUACUCUGCCUCAUGAUAGGGCUGGCCUUAUACAACAACAACAACAACAACCACAACAACAGCAAUUUAUUAUUUCUACCCCUCCCAUCUGGCUGGGUUUCUGCAACCACUCUAGUUGGCUUUCAGCAGAACAUUAAAAACAUAAUAAAACUUCAAACAUUAAAAGCUUCCCUAAACAGGGCUGCCUUCAGAUGUCUUCUAAAAGUCUGAUAGUUGUUUAUUUCCUUGACAUCUGAUGGGAAGGCAUUCCACAGAGCGGGCGCCACUACCGAGAAAGCCCUCUCCCUGGUUCGCUGUAACUUCACUUCUUGCAGGGAGGGAACCACCAGAUAGCCCUCGGAGCUGGACCUCAGUGUCUGGGCUGAAUGAUGGGGGUGGAGACGCUCCUUCAGGUAUACUGGGCCGAGGCUGUUUAGGGCUUUAAACCCAACACUUUGAAUUGUGCUCGGAAACAUACUGGGAGCCAAUGUAGGUCUUUCAGGACUGGUGUUAUAUGGUAUACACAUCUACAUUGUCCUGGCCUUGCUCCCUCCACCAUCCUCUCACCCCCCCCCCCCCAAAAAAAGAUGUUAGUUGUAUGCAACGCAUUAUUAAAAACAAAACAAAACUAACUAACAAAGAAACAAAAGUUACUGAACUGCAGCAAUAGAAGUCGUGUGUUUUUAUUUUAAGAAAUGCUUAGUCUUUCUGUCAACUUAAAAGCCUGCCAUUUGCAGAGCUCCAGAAUACAAUUCAUAAGCCCUGCUAAGUGGCAGAACGGGCUUUACAGUAUAGCUGUUGAGUCUCCCCCCCCCCCUUUCUUUACCCCUUUCCUCCCUAACAUAAUACAUUUUUUUCCAACUCAGCAAGUUUUAUUCCCUGCUGGCUGCUUUUGGCCUGCUAUUAUAUUGCACCAAUAACAUGCCCAUAUGACACUGUAGUAUCUUUUUACAGUAUAAUUGCAUGUACAUAUUUUCAUUCGUAGCCCGAAGCUUCAUUUAAGGGCGCAUGGUAAGAAUCCGUGCUCCACCAGACACAGAACAAAAUAAUCAAUAAUUCCAGACAAAUCUGUUUUUAUAGCCAUUUCUAUAAUAAAACAAUAUAAAGUUACAGCGUAUAAGGAGACAUAUUAAUGUGACUUUCCAUAUGUAGUGUAGCUUUUAGGUCUCUUAAACCUUCAAGUUAAUAAUGCCUAAGGAUCCCACUGUGAGUUCAACUACACUUUUAAAGGCAUGCAUGCCUUAAAGUGUGCUUUAAUAGUAAUAUAUUGCUCUGCACACAGUCAAAGAAGCAAUAGGCUGGAUGUCACUAGGCUUCUUUAUGAUGAAUACAUGUAGAAUAAAUAUUGAGGACAGGAUCCAAUGGACUGCAGCCAGAGCUUCUGCAUGAAUUGGGGUCUGGGAGGCCGGCCCUAACCUCUGACAUCCUGUACAUCCCCCACCCAAGAUAUUCAAAGGAGAAGAUUCUGCAGACUUGUGUUUGAUGCAGAACAAGAAGCUGCAGCCUGAAUAAAAAACAUCUGAGGAGAUGUAUCAUAUAUUUUUCAGAUGACUAGGGAAGAAGCCAUAGAGCGCAUGCUUCAUGUGGAAGGUCCCAAAUUCAAUACUGGCAUCUUCAUUUAAAAAGAUUACAUGGAAGGUUAUGUGAAAGGCUUGGCUGAAACCAAAUGCAACCUGGUGGGCUCAUGAUGCCUCUGCAGCCCCCAACAUCUGCUGGUUGCUUUCUGGCAGGCGAACUGGUGCAGGCAGGCAGCAGUAGGCAGCAGCAGUGCCAUCAUAGACAAGCCACCUGCCAUUUUACUUUCAUUUACUUCAUUUAAGAGAUUUGAAGUCUACCCUUCACCCGAGGGCAUGAGGGUGGCAACAGUUCCUGCAGUGCCCCAACAUCAGGGCUGGCCCACCUAUGAGGCAAGGUGAGUUGACGUCCUCAGGCGGCAGGAUCCACAGGGAAAGCAGGUCUGGCCUCCAAGGAAUGCGUCACCUGCUGCCACUGCCAUAGUGGUAGCAAAAGCUGCAGCACACUCCUUGGGCAGCCUGCCACCUCCCCAUGCCAUCUCUGCAGUGGAGAACAGGAGGCCCUGCUGGUCUCCUCCAACCCUUGUUUCUGCAUCCCCCGCUUGUUUCUGAUGUAGAUCUUCACUUAUCCCAUCUUCCCAGGCGGGGCUGGGGUGGGGAGUGCCAUUUUGAGGUGCCAAAAUGUAUUGGGCUGGCCCUGCCUGAUAUAACAUCGUUCUAGGUGUUGUCAACAACUUAAAAGGGCAGGACAAUUAAAACUCAGAAAUCUAUUUUAAAAUGCCCACUGCAACAGGGAAGUCACUGGUAGUCAUCUGAAGUUCCACAGGAAGGGAGCCUGUUUAAUAUCAGCCAGGAAGGAAACUGGAGAUUCCCUGCCUACUGUAUUAUGGCUGUUCCCUCUGGAACUAAUAGCAGCUUUAUCAAAAGAGGGGCAAAUUUGGAUCAGAAAUGCACCCUGGGAGGAAACUCAGCUUUACUGCUCCAAUCCAAAUCUGAUUGCAGAUCCUUUUCUUGCAUCGAGUCUGCUCUGAGAGGCCCACGCAAAUAAUUUCUUAUCUUCCUCUUUUUCACACUUGAAGGGAGCUUCAGAUCUGUGACCUGCUGGAAAAAGGGAAUGCUUUGUUGUUAUUUGGCCUUCAGUACUGGAAUACCCAAAGUGUGAAGUAGUUUGCUUUUUUAUCAGUGAGAUAACUGGUGAUAUUUUAGGUUGCCAAUUAGCAGAUUACCAAUUUCAAUUCAGUGGAGGCAGCUCAUGGGAAUUGCCUCAUGUUAUGAACCUUGGAAGCAGAAUUGCCUUAUCGCACUCAUUGCAGUGGCAGGUUCUAAUAGGCCUAUAAAUAUAAUCUCCUGAUACCUUGAUGGCGAUCUUUUCCUUAAUUCCUAUUUGGUGUGAGACUUCUUUUUUUUGACACAACUUUUCCUUCAUCAGUAGUUUAAUUUUGGGAUCCUAAUCUACACGUACUGUAUUACCAAAGGUGGGCUUUGUGGCAUGUCACACAGAGCAGUGUAAAGACUCCUUGGCUAUAAAUCCUGACCAGUAUCCACUGUUCCUGAGCAUGACUCCCCCUAGUGAAAACGCAAAGCUUUGCAUUACCCAAGUGUAAUGUUCAAACUCCCCAAACCAACGCCAUGUCGAAUUAUUAUUUUAAAUCAGGCUUCCUCAACCUUGGCCCUCCAGAUGUUUUUGGCCUACAACUCCCAUGAUCCCUAGCUAGGAGGACCAGUGGUCAGGGAUGAUGCAAAUUGUAGUCUCAAAACAUCUGGAGGGCUGAGGUUGCGGAAGCCUGUUUUAAAUCAUAGCCUUGUUAAUGAGUUCAUUCUUUAAACAACUUGUCCAAGAAAUGCAAACAUCUGCACAACUGAUGCUGUGGUUUGGGUUGUCCAAUAGGUAAUUGAGGUAGGAGAUAUCGCAAGAUCUCUUUACCUUGCCCUUUGACUACCGAAAGAGAUACUUUUAGGAUUCUGUCCCAGUCCUUUUCUUCUAGAAAAAAAAAAAGUGCUGGUACUGUGUACCCUUGACUACCCCCAGAAACAAACACUACCCCCAUUAUCUUGACUGCAAUUUGUUUUAAUGUAUUUAAUGCUCACUUUAAGGCAAUGUCCUAAGUUCUUAGGUGCCCUAUCUAUAAUAUUUCAUUGCAAACAAUAAGCAGACCAGACAUUUUGAAUACACUGCCUGCAUGAAGCAGUGUACUCCUGGAUGAGAAAAUGUGCAACCUGCACUAUAGGAAUCAAAGGCAGAACUCUUCAUAAUACAAAACAAUUAGAUACUUUGCCCUGUGAUGGAAGAUGUAUACAGCCUUUGCAGAAGUAUCCCAAGGCCUAUGGAGUUGUAUGAAAUAUUUUUGAGUAGCCAGACAUUUUAACGAUUGCUCUGUACUGCUUCUAAAGGUCUUUCAUGUUGCUGUUCACCAAAAUAAUGUUCUGUGAGAGGACAUUAUAUAAAAUGUGUGUGUGUGUUUCAAAAUUAAAAUUCCACCUUCAAAAAAAGGUAGGGAAACGGCAUGUGGAAAUCUCACAGAAAUGCCAGCGGUUCCAGCAGAUCUGGAACUGUAGUUUUCUUUCCUGUGGUUGGUUUGUCUCAGAAUCCUCCCGGCUGGAAUUCUGCCUGAGGUGGCCGGUGGGGUGGGGGGUGGGGGAGUGUGAAUGUCACCACCUCCACAGACCUCACAUGUUCUGUUGUAAAGUGACACUUCUCAAAAUGUUUCAUAACUUGUGUGCUGCUUCCAUUUGGGCUCUUGCGCACAUUUGACUUCUCCCCCCCCCCCCACUCUGCUUCCUUUCAAUUUUUAAUCGGGGCAGUCAUAUGUUGUUAGCUGCUUUAUCUCAAGGGCAGCAAGCUGGCUCAGGAAGGAAGGAAGAAGGGAUGGAAGGGAGGCGAGGUGACUAGACUGGAUGGUGGGCCUUGUCCAUAAUAAUAACAAUAGUAUUAGUAGUAAUAAAAAUAAUAAUCAGCCCCAAGAAGUCAAGGAGGGCUUCCUACGAUUGCAAAGCGGGAUGCUGUUCCAAGCAACAGACAUUGGCUUUGCAGCGUUCAAGCAAUCUGAGAAAUACAUAAAGUAUUGUUAUGGGUUUGGACUGUUAAGCUGUGCGCCAGACCCCUCUAGUCCCUGGAUCCAACAAGUGUUAGAAUUUAAUCAAGGCUUCUAAUUCUUGGAAUAGCCUGACUAGCCUCCUGCAGAGGUGAUAGCAUGGGUGAGGGGGAAUUAAUGGGCUCUUUUGUAAGGUGGCAAAUGGGUGGGACCAUCUCCCUCAACAAGACCCUUUUGAGUGUAAAUGCUGUGAACCCCUCCAUCUUAGGCUCAGGUUGUAUAUAUGUAUAGAUAAACCAUAUGUCAUAAAGACACCACAGUCUCCGCUAUGCCUCAUUCCCAAAAGGAAAUGAACCCUGGAUAACAUGCCUGGAACCCCCUGGGAUCUCUCACGGCUCAGAGAUUGGAUGGUGGGCAACAGCACUGUAUGUAAAUUAUGUAUCCCUUCUUAAAAAAAACCUCAUUUAAGAUUUAGAGCUGUGCGAAACAUCCACAGACAGAAAGCUGGCUGCAGGAGACCUUGGAUAUAUGUAUGCAAUUUGUAUAAGAUGGUUAGACUAACACUCUUAUGCCAACCAUAAAAUAAAAUCAAAAGUAUAUUCAGUGGCAAAGUGAAUUAUUUGCCCCAGUUCAAGACUCCAGUUCAGUCCAGACAGAGAAAAAGAGCUGUAAUUCUAGAGGACUGGACUCAUGACCAGUCGAAGGUGAACAAAUCUUAUGGAACAAAUGAGCAACUGUGUGUGCUUAUUGCUUGAAAAGCUGAUAAUAUGUAAAUGUCCUGAUUUCCCAGACAAGAAACCGAGGUUAAUAGCUAAUGCUGUUUUCCAAGGCAUCCAAUGAGUUACAAUUUAAGAGAGGGUCAAGAAGAUUUUCUCGCCUGUAUCUGCUCCAGCAGUUAGUUGCGGCAUGUGCAGAAUAUUCCUGAAUUCAUUUACUCUGGAGUAGUUCUUUUGAAGUUGGUGAAAGUUUUCCAUAUAUUUUAAAGGAGGAAAGCGGGACUCUUAAUGUGAUUAAACUGGAGCUCAGCAUGUACUGAACUUGCUGCUCCUGGCAUUCCACAUUGAAGACGCACACUGAUUGGAGGAAUAGUCUUCAUUCUAACGCCUACCCUUAAAAACCCAUGCCGUGGUGGAAGGAAAGGAAAAAACACACACAUGCAUAUUUAGAAGAAUUUGCUCGUUGUACCAAUGGAAAAUUGAACUGCAGCAGCACAGUGAAAUCCAGGAUUUAAUGUGGGUUUGGAAAACGGAGAAAGCACAAUUGCUGAAGAAAAUGCACUGGUUACAUAACUGACCAAGCCCAGGCUUAAAUCAUUAACAUGUGAUCAUGUGCGGUGCACUUUCUGUUUCCAACAAACCGUUCUGGGAUGCUUUGGAAAGGAAAGCACAACAGACCCCCAUCUUUGUGGCCUGUUAAUCUUCCUGAAUGCAUUUGUUUGGUUUCAUUUAGUGUAGCAACUUGAUGUAUUUAGAGCAUGAAAGGUGGUUGACCGAGCAUGACUUGCAAGAUCACAGCAAACAAUGUUUUUCUAGUAUUAAGCAAAAUCCAUAGUAAGGACAUGAGACCAUCUGAUCUCAGGUUACUCAGCUAAGGAGAGGGAAAAAACCCCCUCUCCCGCUGCUCCCUGCUGAUGCUGCAGAUGCCAAGAAGGGACUGGAUCUCUUGCUACUUAUUUGUGGGAUGAAGUUGCGUAGGGCUGCAACCAUAUUCGCAUCUCUGCUGCAGUGGGUGGUGCUAGCACUCAGCAGGGGUCAUAUUUGGAUCUGGAAUCGGUUUCCAACUCCAGGGCUGAGAAACUAAGCACUGGAUGUGUACUGAAUAAAACAUAUUGGAAACAUUAAAACAUAACUUGAAACCAUGAUAUAAAAAAGACAAAAAUUGAAGAAGGGCGGGGGAGGGGAAAACCUUAUCAAAAAUAACUCAUCUGCUCUCGAAAGCCUAGGCAAAGAGGUGCGUCAUUGCUAACUGGUGAAAAGAGCACAAUGGUGAUGUCAGAAGCACCACCAAAAGAAGGAAGUUCCUUAAGUAGGGGGCCACCACUGAGAAAGCCUUACCUCAGACCUCAGCAGUAACCAGCAGUACCAGCACAGCCUCUCUUUCUGAUCUAACAUUCAGUCAGAUCUAUACGGACUUGGGAUCCAAGUUGUUUAGGGCUUCAUAUGUUAACAUAAGCAUCUUGCGUUGUGUUAUGAGAGAGGGAGAAAAGGAACUAUUUCAUUUUUCUCUAACUUACUUUGUAUUGUUGUAUUGUACAGUGAAAGACAAGUAAGAAACAUUACAGAUAAAUAACUAAAGCAGAAGCCUAAACCUAUAUUAUUUUAAAUGUGUUUGUGGGAGGGGAGGGUUAUUGGUCUGUUUUGUUCUUGUUUUAUUACGUAUUUUGAGUUUUUAUUUUGUAUUUUUAUGCUGUGAACCCCCCAUCAUCCGAAGAUCUCAGUUCAAACAAUUAAAAAACCCUAAGAGAUCCAAUAAAACAAUAAAACCAUUUGAAAGACUGAGCCCAUUGAAAGACUGAGGAAAGAUGAGCAAUUGCAAGAUUGACUACUCCCUCACAUAAAAACACCUAUGCACUUCAGGGUAAAACUAUAAGCUGGCCUCUUCUUUUUAAACUAGCUUUCUGUCUUCAGAGGCAUCUGAUGUGGGGAGCACUGGUGGUGACUGCUGGUGAAGUAGAGCAGGUUGUAAACGACAUAAAGGGGAGUGGGCCUCUUGCCCCCACAUAAUACGCAGUGGUGUUAUUGGAGUCAGGGGGCGCUGCAACCGUAUUGUGCAGGCAGAUGGCAGCUGACUGGUUAGCAGUGACCCAUCAUCAGUCUGUGCUGCUGAUGUCAUCAAUUCAUGCCACACCUCACUUGCUGCUGCUAUUUAUUAAUCCGUUCUAAAUUUAUUGUUAAGCUGCUGAUGCUGGGAAACAUUUGCACAAUCCCCUGGAGAAUAAUUAUUUGAUCCUUUCUUUCCCCCUUUCGUCUACUUACUGACAUAAAAUGCAUGGACACCCAGAAUGAGGUCAUGAAGAGAAAGUUAAUGCAGUUCAGAUGGAUGUUUUGAGAAGCUGGUGGUUUACACAGCAUGCAGGGCCCUCUAAGUUUGGCAUGUUAAAAUUCCCCAAAUGUGCACCGGGAUAAUAUGGAAACUAAAACAGAAUAUUUUAUGCAAACAUCCCCUAAUCUGCACAGUUCUGGCUCUAGGAGGUUAUUGCGUUCCCAGAGAAUUUGAAUAUGUUAUCGAAAAUGAGAUGCUAGUUGCAAAUUGAGAAAAACGGAGGUCUGACGAAGUGCAGAGCUCCGGAAACACAAGUAUAACAAGCAAAUAAUCAGCUCCAAUUUAGCUGCAGGAGGCUAUAGACGGUGUUUAUGGUAGGCCUUGUCAAUGCAGCACUGGCUCCAUCCGCUAUCAAAGCUUUAAAUUUAGAAUUUAGGGCUUAUCCACACACCCCUUUUACCCUGGUCUUUCCAGGCAGAGGUCCGCACUUUUACUUUCCGUGUCCAAGCAUUUUUUCCUUGAGCUUUCCCUGCUGAAAACUGCUCUUUAAAGCAAAUGUCAGUUUGGGUUUUCUGUGGAUUAACGUUUGCUCCGAUGGAGCUUUAAAGAGCAGGUUUUCAUGAGGAAAGCUCCAGAGAGAGAGAGAGAGAGAGAGAGAGAGAGAGAGAGAAAGGUGCUUAGGCACAGAGACACGGACUGUGCCUGGAAAGAGCAGAGGAAAGUUAAGUGUGGAUUAACCCUAAGCAAAUUGUUGUGCUAUCUAACCCAAACAAAAGAAUGCUGAAAUUACAUUGCUCAGUAUUUCUUUAUUGCAUAUCCCUCCCACCUGCAACAUGCCUUCCCCAAGACACUUCAGAUUUUAUCUGGACACAGAUAUGAACAAUAUCUCGAAAGGAGAUGGAUCAUUAACAGGUCCAGGUUAACUUGUGUUCUGUAAGAGGUGGUGCUCUUGCUAUAUCUUCUCACUAGAAGGUGUAUUGUGCAGGUAUUGUAAAAAACAACAACACACGUUUGUGGGCUGAGCCCACCCUUGUUAUGUAAAGUUUGUGCUCUGAUCAGUGCUGCAGUUUGGGCUAACUCAGCACUGCAUGACUAAUAUUAUUAGACAUUCUUAAAAUAACAACAAUGUGCUGCAGCCAAAGGACAAUGUCGCAGUGCUAAUGCCGCCUAGGCUGAUUAAUUGAGCAGUUGAUGCAUAAUUUUUCAAUAUUAAGACUGAAUGUUCCGUUGACAUCUGUUCCUCAUUCCCCUUUGCCUGUGGUGUAAGUACAUUAAUACUGGAUGUAAUACUGCCACCUUCUGGUUGCAGACAGUGGUAGGAGGCCUAUAGCGAAUAAAAAAGUUUGCAAUAGCAAUAGGAUUUGAAAUGUCUUACAUGUCACCACAGGGAACCCUAGCGAAACCCAGGGUGAGGAUCGGUAAAUUUUCCAGGAUGAGGCAUUGGAUACUUUCCUUUUGUUCACGGUCCUUUUAUUUACAAGACCACGUAGCUUCCGUGUUACAGUGAUUUAGUGCACUUAUCUCUUUAUUUAUCCCAAUGUAUCACAAAGGAAAUCUUUCUGGGUUAGAAGAACAGUAGUUCAAAAGGAACAGUGUCCAGUGGCAGCUGGUAGAAAUUCUGGCAAGGCGAGGCUCAAAUUAUGCUGUGGUUGACCACUUGUGAAUACUCAUGCUUACAUAAACACUGAUGGCUACAUGUGGCUUGUAAUGUUGGAAGAGGCCUUGAACUGAACAUACUAAUUUUCUUCAGUCUUUCUUUUUAUAUUUUUGAUGGUUUCCUUUAAUCCAUCUACUGGUGUAGAUCCUAAUCCCUCGCUGCUGACCUAUUUUUGAAUCUUCUCAAAUACGCCUAUAUGUCAUCAACAAAAAUAAAGCUACGGUGUCAGAAUCGGGCCCUUUUAACUUGACACGGUUUCGUUUAGAUUUUUUAAAUUAACCCCAGCCUUUAAUUUUUUGGGGGGAGGGGAAGUGGGUGAACAGGAUCAUCUUCCUCUUCUCUAUUUCAGCACAGCGAUGGCAGCAAAAAUUUAUUUUCAUACGCCUAUCUGUGAAUCUAAAAGUCCCUCUGCAGGCUUUCACACUCAAGAAAGGAUGUGAAUUUAUGACAUCUCCCAGAGGAUUCCGGCUCCAUAAAUUUAAUAGGUUGGAACAGCUUUAAUCCUUGCUUCCAUAUGUUUUCUGAAGCAUGGGAUGAUAUUGUAGCCGUUUCCCUCCUCAUGGGCAGAACAAAAAUUUAAACUAAGGAAAGGAAGACUUUUCCUCUGACAGCAUUUGCCACUGUCCUUCGGUUUUUACCAUUCUUUGAACCACAAAAUGAGCAGCCAUUACUAGUCUCGUACCAUUGUUGCUGUUGUUAUAGUCAUGUAGAACCAUACAUGUGUACAGUUAUGUAUGCACAGUAACAAACAAAAAGACAGGUCCCUUCUUCAUCUGAGGAGGGAUGCCAACAGAGAGAUGACAGAAAGAUGGAGAUAAUGGCAAUGGUUUCAGUUGUCGAUACUCAAAAAGAGUUGCAGUGUGGAAUAAGAACCAAGGGGUGAAGUGAAAGGUUCUGCAGAAAUGGUGGGUUUUGAAGGGGCAGCAUCAUGCAGUUGUCAUGGAAGGAAGUUCAAGGAAUACAGAGCAGCUAGGAAGAAAGGGUAGAGUUUUUUGAGAAAGCAAGAAGGCCAUUGAAAGUUUUGAAAAUAAGGGUGAUAAGGAGUUGUGUACUGGGAAGGAUGUCAUAUGGUUUCAGAAUGAUGGAGAGGAAUGUCAGGCUUCUGAAUAGAGGUGAGAGGACCAAUGGUGUGGCAAUGGAAAGUCCUAUUAGGCGGGGGAAGAUCUCCCAGAAAGCAAAUUGGCCAUUGCUUCACCCUAGAUCCAUCUUACUGUCUCUGCCCUUCUCUAUUCGAUGGUGAAAAACUGCUAUGUCCCCCACACUCAUCAAUUGAACAUGUGUUCCCCGCAGAUGAAUUGCAAAAUUUGGCAAACUGCUAUGACAAUUAAGAAACAUGGAUGCUUUUUGUCAAAGGUCAUAAGGACUAUUUCACAGGGUUCAGGCCCGUCAAACUCAGAAUAGGAUUUUUAUUUUAUUUUUUAGUAUCAAAGAUAGAGAGUAGUUGUUGAGGAUUAGUCACAUGCAUAUUGAUUAGGGAAUUUGAUAUGCUUGCCUGGCCAGGAAGGUGACAGAGGAGCAGCAGGAAAGCCUGCAUUUAGAGUUUGCAAAGCCAAGAUUUAAUUCCUCUGGAGGGUCUUGUACUAGGCACCAAACAGUUAAAUGUGAACAAAUCCUUAAUAUUUGCUGAACUGGCAGUUAUGACCAGGAUGCCUUAAAGGCUUUCCUCCUCAGUUUCAAACAUGAAUUACAAACCACUUGAACAACGUUGAGUGUUGUCAUUUGUCCCAAAACCUCAAAAGCCUCAGCCAAAGCCUAUCCAUCUUGCAAAUUAUGGAGGGAGAAUUGGAAGAACUGAGUGGAGCCAGGGUAUUGGCUAUUACUUUCCCAUCCUCCGCUCAACUAUUUGUGAUCCACAGCCAACAUUAGUUAUAGCUUGGUACAGACUGAUUCCUACGGAGAGCGUUUGGAGAAUAGGCACCAGGAAAGGGAUCCCUAUGCUGUUUUCUGUUUCCACCUCAAUCUUCUUACAGGCCUGUGGGGUCUCUCCCAAAAACUUGUCUUCAGAAUUUCAGUUCAGCAUAAAGGAGAGAGGAAAACAACCACCCAACAGUUGGACCUUGAUUUAAAAGGACAUAUGAGAUUCACAUUUUGAAUAUGUGAUCUUUUUCUUUUGUUUUGGUCCUUUGCAUAGUCAUAUUAGGCACAAUAUUUUCUUUCUGUGCUGCCUUAAGCUUAUUUCACAGCUGAGAUCAAGUGUGUUCUUUGCAAAACCCUUAUCUAUCAUGUUGUUGUUUAGUCAUUUAGUUGUGUCCGACUCUUCAUGACCCCAUGGACCAGAGCAUGCCAGGCACUCCUGUCUUCCACCGCCUCCCGCAGUUUGGUCAAACUCAUGCUGGUAGCUUCGAGAACACUGUCCAACCAUCUCACCCUCUGUCGUCUCCUUCUCCUUGUACCCUCAAUCUUUCCCAACAUCAGGGUCUUUUCCAGGGAGUCUUCUCUUCUCAUGAGGUGGCCAAAGUAUUGGAGUCUCAGCUUCACGAUCUGUCCUUCCAGUGAGCACUCAGGGCUGAUUUCCUUAAGAAUGGAGAGGUUUGAUCUUCUUGCAGUCCAUGGGACUCUCAAGAGUCCCCUCCAGCACCAUAAUUCAAAAGCAUCAAUUCUUUGGCGAUCAACCUUCUUUAUGGUCCAACUCUCACUUCCACACAUCACUACUGGGAAGACCAUAGCUUUAACUAUACGGACCUUUGUUGGCAAGUUGAUGUCUAUCUAUCAUAGGCACAGACAAAGGUUUGAUGGACACUGUCCAUGCCCAGCCCACUGGGGUUGAUUGUGGUGCUAAAUCCAUUUCUUCCAUUUUCUUCCAACUAGGGAGCAAGCUUUGUUAUGAGCACACUUGACACCUGAAAUAUGGUGACCAAGAGAGAAAAUAAACAGCUAACCAUGUAUCUCAGAAUUGUGUAAAAUGGUCCUAAGAGGGUUUGACUUACACUGUGGGGGCUGCUGUGCAUUUGAGCUGCUGGAGCAGGGGACCCAGCAGCUAACAGAAGGUGGAACCAGGGGUAGCAAAAGGUGGAGUUAUCAGUGCUAAGAAUCCUCCCAAACAUUACCUUCUUCCCUACUCAAUUCUUUUUCACAAGGACCACUGUUCUUAAAAUGUUUUUCAAACCAGCAAAUUUUCAGCUCCCAUACUUUUAAUUCAAGCUGCGUACAUGCUCCCCUUUGCUCUGUGUUCAGUGUGCUCCCAUUGGUUUUGGAAGCAGUAUACACAAAAUAUUAGUCCCAAUCCAUUUCUAUACUGUAUCUAUCCUGUCAUUUAUUAUGUUUUAACGUGUGUUUCCUCCACAUUUUUAAACUGAGAAGCAGACUGGAAGCUAGCAGGAUUGGCACAGGUAACAAAGGCAAGAAGAGGAGUUGUUGCUAAAACCCCAACUUCCUGAAAAUAUACUAUAUAGCUGCUAUCACUUAUUCCUCUACUUUUUAUUAUGCAUUGCAGAGCAAAAUCAUCAACCACGGAGGAAGCUUCAUCUGAGCAAGCUUUAAGAACACAAAAUUAUGUGAUCAUCUUGUUUCCAGGAUUCUAUCUUCCCCACUUAGAGACAUCCCACAAGAAAACCCAGCCCAAGAGUUAUUAAGUCAACCCAACACAUGGUACUAUUAGUAGUUGACUGGGUGCCUGCCAACAAUAAUGUCUAAAUUGGUUAUUUGAGUAUAGCCCUGCACUGUUUAAGUAGUGGCUCAUUGAUAACCACUUGGAGUUUGCCUUUCCUUCUAAGCGGUUUCCAAGAAAGCAGGGAAAAAAUGACUUACGACAAGAGAAAGUUCAGGGAGGAAAGUGUUCUUUGCAAUGGAACAAAUAUUAUAUGAUUCAGAGAGUUUGGAGAGCCAAUUCUUCUCGCAUUUUAAAGGCAAUUUUGAUUAUUUAUUUUUUAAAAAAUAAAUAUUAGAACAAACAUAGCACAUAUCCAGGAC